rnacentral:pre_miRNA from 1 species
UGGCUUUGCUGGUCAGACUUACUCAAAAUUCAAGGUAGACUGAACCAGCGUGGCUUCC